rnacentral:rRNA from 1 species
AUUGAACGCUGGCGGCAGGCCUAACACAUGCAAGUCGAACGAGCGGCGGACGGGUGAGUAAUGUAUGGGUAUCUGCCUGAUCUAGGGGGAUAACUACUGGAAACGGUGGCUAAUACCGCAUACCAUCCGAUGAGCCCAGAUGGGAUUAGCUUGUUGGUGGGGUAACGGGUCACCUAGGCGACGAUCCCUAGCUGGUCUGAGAGGAUGAUAAGCAACAGUGGAAAUGAGACACGGACCAUACUCCGACGGGAGGAAGAAGUGGGGAAUAGGGAACAAGGGGCGCAAGGCUGAUGCAGAGAUGCCGAGUGUAUGAAGAAGGCGGUAGGGUUGUAAAGUAAUUUCAGCGGGGAGGCGUUACCCGCAGAAGAAGCACCGGCUAACUACGUGCCAGCAGCCGCGGUAAUUC